ensembl:snoRNA small nucleolar RNA SNORD66
CUCUAAUUAAAAAACAUGUUUUGUGCCACGUGUCUGGGCCACUGACUUCUAAUGAUGGUAUUGAGGAACUGAUGGG